AAUGUUUGCUGCGACAGAAAAAUAUGAAAGUGAAAGUAGAUGGCAGUAAAUGAUUUAGUUUACAUAGGACCAGAAUCCAAUUAUCAAAAGCGAAAUCAUUAUGAGGUGUGGUCCGGCAGAAAAAAUAAAAGUGAAAGUGGAUGACAGGAAAAAAUGCAGUUUAUCUCAGACCAGAAUCCAAUUAUCAAAGAGGAAACCAUUGCAAGAAAAAUGACGAGAAUGAUCUCAAUUCCACCAAUAAGAACAAAGCCUGUGGUUACCUUGGAGAUCUGCUUCAGAGCUGCUGACUCAUUACUCCCUCCCAUCUCAAUGUUUGCUGCGACAGAAAAAUAUGAAAGUGAAAGUAGAUGACAGGAAAUAAUGUAGUUUACUUAGGACAAGAAUCCAAUUUCAAAAGGGAAAUCAUUAUGAGAUACUGCAGUGUUUCAAGACAGAGACAGUGGUACCACAAGAUUAAAGAGAAGGAAAAGUUUCAGAAACGGGGAUGGACAUGAUGAUUCAGAAAGAUGUCAAGAGCAGUCUGCCGUGUCUGGGACACAUUUGGAUUUCAGCUAUAAAUAUUUGCAGCUGCGAACUGGCGUAUAGCCAGAGCCUGACUAGGAAGAGCCCACUAUGCUGACAAUAUUAUUAGCUCUCCUUGCCUCGGAAUAAUCUGAAGGAGUGUGUGCAUUCACAAUUUCCCCGGAACAAUGACGAGAAUGAUCUCAGUUCCACCAAUAGGAACAAAGCCUGUGGUUACCUUGGAGAUCUGCGUCAGAGCUGCUGACACAUUUCUCCCUCCCAUCUCAAUAUUUGCUCUAGCAGAAAAAUAUGAAAGUGAAAGUAGAUGGCAGGAAAUAAUGUAGUUUAUUUACGACCAGAAUAGAAUUAUCAAAAGGGGAAAUCAUUAUGAGGAAAGUAGGAGGUGAUCACGUAUCUGAAUUCUUGGGUCUGUAUAUUGCCUAUCUAACUGAAAAUUUCCAUUUCUUCCUGCUGACGGCUGAUUGUGAUACUGUGCUGCCGAUUGCCGUUUAUUGGUAUCACAUUCAGAAAUGCCAUGUCAAAGUCGCUAAACACUUAUUACGGAAUCUUAAACUUGAAAUAUUCAGAUUCCAAGGUGCCUGAGGUAAUUUGCCAAUAUAGCAAUUAUCUUAAUGAGGUUUUCAAUGGCGCAUAAGAUCAGUACAUUUCAUUGUUGUCAUGUAUAGACUUUCUAUGAAAAUCAUCAUUUCAGAACAUAAUCUAAAGCUAACCUUGGAAUCGCAGAUUUCGCGGCUGAAUGCUUCAGACUCGAGGGCAUUUCCUGCACUGCAAACAGAAUCAGGUGACUCUCACAAAUUCCUUGCUUUUCCUAAAUUGCUUCUGUAUCCUGCAGGUCUCUGAGACACAUUUUCUUCUCUGGUGUUUUUUACAGUGAGGCUUUGACUAAAGUCCAGCUUUGAGCAGGGCUUUAGUCAAAGCCCCACUGGCAAAAUCUCUCAAUGCAGACCUUUUUAUGCCAUGUAGGAACCAAUAAGAAAAGAGAUCUCAUAACAAGGACCGGAAAGCACAAGACUGCAUUUAUCUUGAUGAUCUUCUCCAGAGCUGAUGAAUCAUCUGUGUCGCUCUCCUUACCUUGUAUUGUGAAAAGAAGCAGAGCAAUUGACAAAGGAACAGAGGAUAAAAUGUAAUUUACCCUGCAUUUUGCCUCCAAUUAACAGCCAACUAAACUGGUAAAAUGUAGCAGGAUGAGCCAGCUGGCAGAUGCUUUUCCCUUGAAUCUACCUAUACAUGGAAGCCUUCAUUCCUCUGUGAGGAUUUUUGAUUGUGAAUCUGUGCUGCCAAUGUAUCUGGCUUCUGAAUCUUUGUGAUUUUUUCUAUGUUUUUAGGUGUGGUUUUUAUGCACUCAAAUUAUAAUAAAUAUGUUACAUAUAAUAUGAUAUUAUGAAUUACAUAAAAAUAAAAAUGCAAUUAUGAUUUUUCAUGUAGUUUAAUUAUAAUACACAAUAUAUUUAAGUUCAUUAGAGGGCUAUACGAGGAAUUGGGGAGACUGUAGAAAGAAAUGUAGAUUUUAAACCUUCUCUCAUAUAGACCCAAGUGUAAUAUAGUAGCUCACAAUGUCAUAAUGAUAAAGAAAUGAAUUCAGUUUAAUUGUUUUCAGAAAAAAAUAAACAUAUUUAAAUUGGUAACAUUUGUGUCUGUUUGUUUUAAGGCUUAUAGGUAUUUGGUCAUUUACAUUUUCAUGAAGCAUCCUUCAUAUUUUUGUUUCUUGCAUGCAAGCAAUAUACAUAAUUAUCCUUUAAAUAAUAAUUCAUAAUUAUUUAUUUAAA